AAUUAAGACUAAGCAAAAUUGUCAAAUUUUGGUAGAUAUGGCUAGCGAUGAGUUCAGGCUGGUAUCACCUGCAAUAAACCAUGAAGGAAGGUUGCCUAGGAAGUACACAGAUGAAGGUCAAGGUGCAAAGAAAAACUUGUCUCCACCACUUGAAUGGUACAACGUGCCUGAGGGAACCAAGACCCUAGCCCUUGUGGUGCAAGAUAUUGAUGCACCAGACCCCAAUGGUCCAAUUGUGCCAUGGACUGUUUGGGUUGUGGUGAACAUUCCUCCAACCUUGAAGGGUCUACCUGAGGGGUUUUCAGGGAAAGAAGAGGAAAUGGAAGGUGACUAUGCUGGGAUCAAAGAAGGGGUCACUGAUUUGAAAGUGCCUGGAUGGCGAGGACCCAAGUUGCCUUCUCAUGGUCAUAGGUUCGAGUUCAAACUUUAUGCAUUGGAUGAUGAGGUGCACCUUGGUAAUAAGGUCACGAAGGACAAGCUGUUGGAGGCGAUUGAAGGGCAUGUGCUGGGAGAGGCGGUCUUGGUGGCCAUUUUCUAAGAGGAAAAAUGUUGUUGGUUUCGUUUUUGACAUUUUAGAAAUCGCAGUCUCUCUUACAGAUACUGGCGUUUUAUACAACUAUAUAUACUCUUUGUAACUCGUGUAAUUGCGAUUUGGCUCGAUUUGCUGCGACUCUUGUCGAGCUUAUACUCUAGCCCAAUAAUGUAUUUCCCACAUUAAUCUAAUACUCCACACAAUUUAGGCA